GACAAUGAGCGUACCAUAGUGAGAACUUGACCUGUCAGAGGUCGACAUAUUCAGUAGAGGAAAGACGACAGCGCGCUGUCAAACUGAUCUUUGCAGGACGAAAGGUGUUCUUUGUCGACGAAGAUCCAUACCUGUGGUCACCUGUGUGUAUAUAUCUAACUUUGUAACAUGGUCGGUAAUAUCAGGACACUGUGGCGCGAAUUUCCGGUCAAACAGGUGACAGUUUUAGGGGUGCUCCUGUCGAUAGGGUCCAUCUCUGGAAGCACCAGGCUACCGUUUCUCCCGUUCCUCACACACGACUUCUUCCCUUACCUGAAGAGUAACCAGAUAGGUUAUUACGCCGGGUUCCUGACAAGUGCGACCUAUGCUGGCAUGUUUCUCGGCUGUUU